GCUCUCGAUCUCAGUUUCUGUCUCGUCCUUGCCUGCCUGCUGCUCUGCUCACAUAUUCCUGGCUGUUAGGAAUCGGAAGGAGAGAAGUACAUAAAAGUCUGUGCUUACAGCUGCCAGUGUCUCUAGCUUUAAGAAAGCAAAACAGCUCCGAGCAGGGGGAAGUGCUCCCACAGAGGAUUGGACCUGCGAGAACACUGCACCCACCCUGGACCUUAUCCAAGACAAGUCCUCUGUUCACCUUGGGGUCACUGGGAGCUUCAGGAAGCAGCAUAUUUGCAUUCACACCUCUCUCCAGGAUUCACGGAGUGAGAGGUCACAGGGUCAUGGAACCAGGUCAUAGAAUACGGCUGUGCCUUGUACUGAAGCUGAUCUCAGCACAGCCUCAGCCCUUUAGUGGGAAAGUGGCUUUAGCAGUGGAAGAGGUUCCCCAAAGAUCCCAAGAGCUUUGUUGCUUCAUGGUUUCUGGGGAAGACGGACAGUGAAUAUCCCAGAAGGGAAGAGGUGAAGGAGGUUGGGGGGCGUCCAACCAAGCACCUUCCCUGUUGCCUCGGCUGCUUCAACCCCCUCUUGAGGAAUCCCCUCCUGGAACACCCUGUGGCCCAGCAACUAGAUGGCCAAUUGUGCCAGGCCACAUGAGUAUAGCUUGGGCUGCCAGAGGUUUCUGCCCUCCAGACUGGUGGUUACAUAUGCUGAGUGGGAUCCUCGGCUCACCAAGCUCACUCAGGCUUGCAGCCCUCAUGGGAUGGAUCCCAAUGGUCUAGGAUCAAGAAUAUUUUAUUAAGGAAGGAAGGAACUCUUCCUAGAUCAAGCGCCAAUGGUCUUUCUCCCUGAGCCUUCCCAGGACAUCGGGAGGUCAAUGAAGGUUCAGAUGAGCUGUGUGACCAAGGACCAGCAACAUAAACUGCUAGAGCUCAGAUCCAGCCUUGCAGAUAGAUCCCCUCCCAACCGUCUCUCCUCCUUGAGCUUCGAGUAAUCUUUCAGCCUCUCACAUAAGCCACAGCCCUCAACAAAGCAGAUAUCAUAGGCACGAGUGGGAGGUGGCAUUCGUCGGAGCCCAUCAGAGCCGAGGUGGAGCGAAGCCAUGCUUCAAAGCAGCAUCCUGGGACGCACGUGGCACCGCCUGGCCCUCACCCUUGCUCCAAGAAACCAUUAACUAUGCAACAUCUCAUCUUGUUCCCGGGCAGCCGAGGGCUCUGAGUCACAGGAGGUGACAUUACUUUCCAACAGGUAAGUUGUUCAACAGAUGGGCAGUCGAGUGGCAAAGAAAUACAUUAUUAAUGUUUCUGGUUAAAUUAACUGAUUAAAACCACCCCAGGUAAAAACGUACAUAUCAGCGCUUUGCCCACAGCAAAUGAGGAAUUAAUGGAAUAUGGCUGUGUCUCAGUAAUGAGACACAGACAGGGGCUGUCUGGAAAAGUUUGCUCUCUUCAGCUCAGCGGCAGGGGGUUGGGGGCAGGGGGCUGGAUCUGCCUGUUAAAGGGACCUCGGCUAGAUUGGCUCUGAGCAGGGCAGGAAACAGAAUCCAGAGCUUCUUCAAGCCUGACUGAGAUCUGAGAGAGCUGCUCAAAGCUGCUUGCUUUUCUGGGGGCUCAAUGCAGAAGGAGCAGGCCACCAGCAAGAGCCUAGACCACCUGCAGAGUCGGGAUUAGAGUGGGGCCUGGUGGUCCCCUGGUGUCUUUAUAUAAGUCAGCUUGCUCACAGGGCCUCUGUUUCCUUAUCUGCAAACCGGGAAAGAGAACACUGUCAUAUGGAAUGUCCUCUUCCAACUCUUGCUUACCUCAUGUAGCUUAUAGGUCAGAACCCAGUGUUCAUCCUUGUCUCGCCCACAGUGGAUAACCUUGUGGCAGCCGAGACCCAUGUGAGACAGGGGUACCUAGACAUCUUCUGUCCCCCCAUGGCUUUGAGGAAGCCUCUGUCUUAAGACAAGCACAAAAAACAUCCAUGUGAGUCUAAUCAUUGGUUGAACACACAUAUGUACACACGUAUGUUCUAAUUGAUCUGUCCAGGCACACAAUACUGUUACAAACAAGCCUGUAUCUCAGAGUCUCAUACAGCUGAGGACAAAGGUGUCUCUCCAAGGACAAGAGGAUGACACUUCAGAGGCAGUGGUAGGGCUGAGGGGUCUCAGGGAGGAUGCUGCUGGCACAACGGACUAAGGGCCAGUUUUCUCCUCAGUAAAAUCAGUUCUAUGCCAGGGUUUCAAGAGCUCCGGGAAGCUGUGACCCAAUUCCAGCAAGAGUGAGAUGUUGCAUUCAUUAGCCAGGCAUCAUACCCUAACCAGGGCUUUCCUUGAUCCAGAGACCCACAGUGGCUAGAGACUCAGGCCCAGAGGCCCUGCCCUUACUGGGUACUCCAGAACUAAAUCAGGGGGAGGCACUGGGCUGCGCUGGUAGCCUCGCCCCGCCCCAAGCGUACGUGGGGAGCUCUCCGAGGUGCUGAUAUCUGAGAGGGGGAGGGAUUGACUAAGAAAAGGUGUUUUUCUCUUCUACUACAAAGUCGGCUGGCUGGGAAGAGAGGAGGGGAGGGGAUGUUGAGUCCCACUGUCCUACCACAGGCCUUCAUGGCCUGGGGUGCCAAGUGAGAGAACAGGGAGGGAGGCACCAGCUGAUAGCUGCCUAACAACUCCCAGCCUGCAAGGAGGCCUGCUAGGGGGUCAGCGCAGGCGAGGCGGUAUCAUUAGCUGUUUACCCUGAGAAAGUUCACACAUUCUGAGGCCGUGCUCUCGAGCUGUCAAAAACACAGCAUGCAGGGCUGGCAGCUCUGCCAACUGUGCUCCCCAGGGCCCAGCAAAGCAAAUAUUUAGCAGGCGCCUGGCUCUCAAGUGUACACGCACACACCUCCUCAUGGGGGAGGGGUGGGGUGAGCACACAUGCCAGCACACAGUUAAAAAAGGCUGUGCAGAGUUGCUGGCCAGAUACACAGAAACUGGGGGGACACACAUAUCAUGGACACACAAGUCUAUUCACAGGCCAAUAGCAUGCUGUCAUUACAUGUAUGAAGCAGUCACUAUGUGUCAGCAUUCUCUCCAAGAGUACGCCGAGACACAUCCGCUCACUCAAAUGUAUGCGGGCAUUUACAUGCACAGAGUGACUCUUACACACAUGUGCAUUCGCUGAAGUAUUCUCUCACAUGCAUACAUUCAUGUUCCUGCACAACAAACCCAGAGCAGACUGCUCCCGAGCCCUUUCCUCUCAGCAGCUGGACUGGCCCCCAAACAUGUCCUCAGAGCCCUUCUGUAAGCUGUCUAGCCUCUGGUCAGACUACCUUAGCUGAUGUCUAUGACAGCUCCUGGCAACCAUGGAGAGGCCGAUGGGGAUCACAUGCAGAUGGUAGCAAGACGCCCCAGAUGUUGUGUGGAAACAAACAAGCCUGCUAAAGUCCUAGAACUUGGCUCCAUCUUGGCCCUGUGGAGUGGCCCUCCCAUUGGCUGGGAAUACACUGUCACCAAUGCAGGCAGGGUGGCACUGUCACAAGCCAAGCAUAGCUAAAAGAGGGUUGAACGCUGAGAUCUGGUUUUCUUAACAGCCUUGGGCACACAACAAAGGCUCUCUGAAGCCCCUGGGUCCUAGCAGCCCUGAGAAAGUGAGUGUUCAGUGCUGCGGUGGGCACCUGUUGGAAGACCCCCUGAGCAACACUCCAUCUUCUCAGUCCUGUCUGGUUUGGCCACUUAGGUAGCUAUGGUCAGACCUGCAACCUGCCAGCCAAUACUGAACUCCCACCCUUGAGAGUCUCACUUACAGGUCCACCUCUGCACUGAUUUUCAAGGUCACCGCCUCCCAGUUCCCAAGGUUAAUGCUCUACCCAGAACAGAUCUACAUUCAUGUUUCAAGGUCAUUGCCCUCUGACACCCUAAGACGCAACAUGUGGGUUUCAGAUGCCACUAGCUAAAGAUCCUCAAGAGCAUUCUCUGAAGACCUCUAAGUCACGGGGACUCUUAGAUUCCUGGAGCCCCGCUUCUACAUUAAGAAGGCUCUCCUGCCUUCAGCCCUUUGCCCCACUACUUGGUGAUCUUGACAGGGCAGCAAACAUCCCUCAGAGCCAACUUUGUGAUCCUCUAGUCAGUACCACAGAGCAGAAAGAGAUAGGAAAGCACAAAAGGGAUGGGCAAGGAGAAGACACAGGCCUUAGGGCCUAGGAGGCUGUGGCAGCUUGCACAACGUGCACACCCCGGGGGUCUCCUUUAAUCCCUCUGCAUUCCUUCUUCCUCCCUCCCUCCCUUCUCCUUUUUUCUUCCUCCACAUCAUCUCUUCUCUCAUUCCCCUCCCCCCUCCUCUUCCUCCAUCUUCUCCAUUCCCAUCCCCUCUCCCCCUCCUCUUCCUCCAUCUUCUCCAUUCCCAUCCCCUCUCCCCCUCCUCUUCCUCCAUUUUCUCCCUGCCUCCCUCGUCCCUUCCCCUACCUACAUUGUCUCUGGGGACACCACGACAGAGCAAGCUUAGACUUCCAGGAUCUUAUACUCACUCCCGUUUUUUUUUUUUAAAUCUCAAGAAACAACCCUGGCCCUCCUUCUGAUUAGUUAAGUCAAGAGGGCUCUGCAGGUUCUCUUGAGGGAGGGGUGUUGCAUGAAGGGGUGCACAUGACUCCCUCCCCAAGAAUGAAACUGCAGACCUUACUGAGUUACAGAAGGAAGCUCCUCCUGGGAUCCCAGUAAACACACCCCUGUUCCCCAGAUACUGCCUGAAUUGCUACGCAAGGAAAACAUACACAAAUAAAGUGUCACGUCUUGACAUUUGAUAAUUUAAAUCCAGCAUCGAAGGGCACCUGCUUAAUUACACACGGAGCAGCGUGUGAACACUGAAACAGGCUGCAGGGGAGGCAGAGACCCCUGCCCGAGAGUGCUAACAGUCACGAAGCCCAGGGCGCAGAGGCAGCCAGAUUUGUCUUUGAGGUUAAAUUAAAGCCGGAGUUUCAUUUUUGACACAGCCUAA